AAAAGUGCUUACAGUGCAGGUAGAGUUCAGGAUCUACUGCAGUUUAAGCACUUCUGGC
rnacentral:pre_miRNA from 1 species